rnacentral:rRNA from 1 species
AGCGAACGCUGGCGGCAGGCCUAACACAUGCAAGUCGAACGAACUCUUCGGAGUUAGUGGCGGACGGGUGAGUAACACGUGGGAACGUGCCUUUAGGUUCGGAAUAACUCAGGGAAACUUGUGCUAAUACCGAAUGUGCCCUUCGGGGGAAAGAUUUAUCGCCUUUAGAACGGCCCGCGUCUGAUUAGCUAGUUGGUGAGGUAAAGGCUCACCAAGGCGACGAUCAGUAGCUGGUCUGAGAGGAUGAUCAGCCACAUUGGGACUGAGACACGGCCCAAACUCCUACGGGAGGCAGCAGUGGGGAAUCUUGCGCAAUGGGCGAAAGCCUGACGCAGCCAUGCCGCGUGAAUGAUGAAGGUCUUAGGAUUGUAAAAUUCUUUCACCGGGGACGAUAAUGACGGUACCCGGAGAAGAAGCCCCGGCUAACUUCGUG